GAUGAACGCUGGCGGCGUGCCUAAUACAUGCAAGUCGAGCGAACAGACGAGGAGCUUGCUCCUCUGACGUUAGCGGCGGUCGGGUGAGUAACACGUGGAUAACCUACCUAUAAGACUGGGAUAACUUCGGGAAACAGGAGCUAAUACCGGAAAAUAUAUUGAACUUCAUUGUCCACUAGUUAAAGACGGUUUUGCUGUCACUUAUAGAUGGCUCCGGGCCGCAUUAGUUAGUUGGUAAGGUAACGGCUUACCAAGGCAACGAUGCGUAGCCGACCUGAGAGGGUGAUCGGACACACUGGAACUGAUGUACGGUCCAGACUCCGUCGGGAGGCAGCAGUAGGGAAUUAUUCGCAAUGGGCUAAAGCCUGACGUAGCAGCGCGGCGUGAGUGAUGAUGGUCUUCGGAUCGUAAAACUGUGUUAUUAGGUAGGAACAAAUGUGUAAGUAACGAUGCACAUAAUGACGGUACCUGAACAGAAAGCCACGGCUAAAUACGUG
rnacentral:rRNA from 1 species